AACGAACGCUGGCGGCAGGCCUAACACAUGCAAGUCGAGCGAGACCUUCGGGUCUAGCGGCGGACGGGUUAGUAACGCGUGGGAACGUGCCCUUCUCUGCGGAAUAGCCACUGGAAACGGUGAGUAAUACCGCAUACGCCCUUCGGGGGAAAGAUUUAUCGGAGAAGGAUCGGCCCGCGUUGGAUUAGAUAGUUGGUGGGUAACGGCCUACCAAGUCUACGAUCUAUAGCUGGUUUUAGAGGAUGAUCAGCAACACUGGGACUGAGACACGGCCCAGACUCCUACGGGAGGCAGCAGUGGGGAAUCUUAGACAAUGGGCGCAAGCCUGAUCUAGCCAUGCCGCGUGUGUGAUGAAGGUCUUAGGAUCGUAAAGCACUUUCGCCAGGGAUGAUAAUGACAGUACCUGGUAAAGAAACCCCGGCUAACUCCGUG
rnacentral:rRNA from 1 species